UACGUAGGGGGCAAGCGUUGUCCGGAAUCAUUGGGCGUAAAGAGCGUGUAGGCGGCUCGAUAAGUCCGCUGUGAAAGUCCAAGGGCUCAACCCUGGAAGGCCGGUGGAAACUGUCGGGCUAGAGUCCGGAAGAGGCGAGUGGAAUUCCCGGUGUAGCGGUGAAAUGCGCAGAUAUCAGGAGGAACACCGGUGGCGAAGGCGGGUCUCUGGGCCGAUACUGACGCUGAGGAGCGGAAGCGUGGGGGAGCGAACAGG
rnacentral:rRNA from 1 species